rnacentral:lncRNA from 1 species
ACCACUUAAAGCUUUAUUUUAGUAGGCCAUGUAUGGUGAUUUUUUUUAACUAUCAACCAUCUCAAAUAAUUUUUCAAAACUUCCCUUUUAAAUACACUAAUUGUACAUGUUCUCCUUGUGACCUUUAUCUAUCAUGGUAUGCUAUCUGAACUAUUAAGAGGCUGUCCAAAUAAAUCUCAGGCAAAUCCUAUGAUAUGGGUGGUGCAACAUAAUUUUUUUCCCACUGAUUUUUUUGGUUCCAAUGCAAUGUUUAUAUCAUACAAAGGAUAUAUAUGUCAAAGAUAUUUUUGAAUCAACAGUGGAUGGCUCAGAAAAUGAUUUUAAAGUUCACUAACAAUGCAAUAAAAUUUUGUACAAAAUGAAGAGUUAUCUCCCCUUUUCAAUGAAUUUUCAGUGCUUUCUAUGUAUUUUUUUUUUCUCCUUAUUUGUUGCAGUUAAUAAAAAAACUAAAUUUAACUUUGAGAAAGAAUGAAUUUGUGAUAUGAAUUAGAUGAAAAAAUUUUGAAAAACAAAAAAUGUCAUGUGCCAUCCCCUGCCUGGUUUUUCCAUGGACACCCUAUAAAAUGCUAUUUAUAAGGAUCUUGUAAAUUGAAAUUUAGUUACUAACACCCUUUCUCAUUGGUAAUGUAAGUCAUUUUUCAUCACUUGAAGAUGUAUAUUAAUAAUAUAUUAAUUAACUUAAAUAUAAAUUUUUUUUCAAGAUUUGAAUUAUCUCCCUUUAAUAGAAAAUGUACUUUACAAGUUAAGUAUUUUUGUUCACCCC